rnacentral:rRNA from 1 species
UGGGGAAUAUUGGACAAUGGGCGAAAGCCUGAUCCAGCAAUGCCGCGUGAGUGAUGAAGGCCUUAGGGUUGUAAAGCUCUUUUACCAGGGAUGAUAAUGACAGUACCUGGAGAAUAAGCUCCGGCUAACUCCGUGCCAGCAGCCGCGGUAAUACGGAGGGAGCUAGCGUUGUUCGGAAUUACUGGGCGUAAAGCGUGCGUAGGCGGUGACUCAAGUCAGAGGUGAAGGCCUGGAGCUCAACUCCAGAACUGCCUUUGAAACUAGGUCGCUAGAAUCUGGGAGAGGUGAGUGGAAUUCCGAGUGUAGAGGUGAAAUUCGUAGAUAUUCGGAAGAACACCAGUGGCGAAGGCGGUUCACUGGACCAGAAUUGACGCUGAGGCACGAAAGCGUGGGGAGCAAACAGGAUUAGAUACCCCGGUAGUCCCUGAGCGGGCUGGCAAGGCGCAU